AUGGUACAUGAAGAGUUUGGCCUCAGAAUCUGGAGAGCCGGUGCUACCACAGAGCAAUACCAUCACCACUGCGAUGAGGUUGGUUUCAAUGCUGAGGAAGCUCACAAUAUUGUCAAAGAGUGUGUAGAUGGGGUUUUAAGUGGUGAAGAUUAUAAUCACAACAUUAACCAGUGGACCGCAAGCAUAGUGGAACAAUCCUUAAUACAUCUGGUUAAGUUGAGAAAAGCUUACAAAAAUAUUGUGACCUGUGCAGUGGUCCAGAAGAGUGCAUAUGGCUUUCACACAGCCAGCUCUGGUUUUUGGGAUACCACACCUGAUGGAACCUGUACCAUAAGAUGGGAGAACCAGACCAUGAAAUGUGUUGUAAACGUUUUUACCAUUGCUAUUGUUCUUUAACUGACUAAAAAUACUAGGCUAAAGUCAUUAACUUAAGAAUUUGUCAGUGUAUCCUUU